ACGCUCUUCUGAUCUAUAACUUCUGACUCCCUCAAAACUUGAUAGCUUGACCGGAAGCCUUACCAAUUACAUGAACGAUUUACACAAACUUUGUACACUGUAUGUAACCUCUGCUGUACUCUUACAAUC